UUUAGGGAGACCUACACCCCUUACAUAUUGAAAAACACACAGUUAAAUAGAUAGUAAGUUGGUCUAACCUAGGUCGGUCGCGGACAUUUGCAAUUGUUAAAAGCUUUCAAACUAUGAUGAAGGUUCGUUUAGGGGCUAUUAGCUCAGUUGGU
rnacentral:misc_RNA from 1 species